GACGAGCCUCACGAACGUUAUUCGGAAUUACUGGGCUUAAAGGGUGCGUAGGCGGCGCGGCAAGUAGGGUGUGAAAUCCCUCGGCUUAACCAAGGAAGUGCAUCCGAAACUACAGAGCUUGAGUACUUAAGAGGAUCGCGGAAUUCCCGGUGUAGAGGUGAAAUUCGUAGAUAUCGGGAGGAACACCAGUGGCGAAGGCGGCGAUCUGGGAAGAUACUGACGCUGAGGUGCGAAAGCGUGGGGAGCAAACAGG
rnacentral:rRNA from 1 species